AAAAAAAUCUAUUUAUUCCGCCUUCUAAAUAUGUUUUAAAUCAGCCCAGUUGUGUGGUGGUCCUACCACUUGUCAGUCUCUGAGAAGAUGCAGUAGGCUGGGGCGUGUCUUCGGGAGGCAGAGGCAGGUGGCUCUCUGUGAGUUCAAAGCCAGCCUGGGCUACAGAGUGAGUUCCAAGACAGCCAGAGCUACAGAGUGAGACCCUGUCUACCUCUGAGGACCGUGAGUUUCUAUGUCUGGGUGCACUGAGGCAGCCACCACGCGGCCACUAACCUUACCCCCGGCCGUGGCUGUUGGUGUGGCAGGACCUAACUGACACUUAUAACCACUCUUCCCAGGUUAUCUGGCCUUGUCCAGGCUGUUCUGUGCUGACAAGCUCUUCCUCAUCCUUGAGUCCUUGGUCUCCUCUGGUCGGAUGUGAUGCCUUGUGUGUACAGUCCCGGCAUUGGGAAAACGCACCGGGAAGAUUGCUGUCAGUUCAAGGUCCGAUGACCUCUUUGAAUUAAACUCUCUGGAGAGCCAAAGGAAGAACUGACCAGCAGAGGGCAGUCAACAAUCGCGAAGGGAAAAAGGCCCCCACAGUUAACAAAAUGGAGGCUGCAGAUGGAGGGGACCUCCCAGCGGGGGAGUACUUGAAGAUCCUCCUUCCACUGGAAGCCUCAGUCUUACCAGUGGAUAAUUUACAUCUAAGCAGGUUGGUCAUCGCUAUGUGACAGCUAGUUCCUGCUAGUCUCAGGCUCUUCUCACUGUCAGCAGCAGCAGGUUAGUACCACUCUCCAAUGACCUCAGCUACAAGCCAAAAUAGUUUUUAUGUAACAAACUGAUUUUUUCAAAUAUUUUAAUUUUCUAUUUAUGUGUGUAUGUUACGUAUAUAUGUUAGCGCCCAUGGAGGCCAGAAGAGGGCAUCAGGUCCCCGGGGCUGGAAUCACAGGCAGUUCUGAGCUGCCCAACGUGGGUCCUGAGAACUGAAUUCAGAUCAAAAACAGUAAGUGCUCAUAACCAUUGUAACCAUUCUCUUGCCCUAAUUUUACACACACACACACACACACACACACACACACACACACACACACACACACACACUCGGUGGGGAGGCAUGACUGUAGGAAGAAUCCAACACUCUAAUAGAUUAAUAUCCCCUUCCAAAUUAAUGACUUGCUCAAAAUUUAAAAGGCUUGGUUAAGCUUUUGUGGUUUUAACUAAAGCAAAUCAGCAGAGGACUUGGGCUAACCCGACCUUAACCUACAACUGCUAGGAAGGACAUCAUGCACAAGCAUUUCAGCUCCUCACAGCCGGUUUAUGAGCCACUUUAAAAUGACUCAUUCAAAAUCACUUGAAAAAGAAUUGGUCACCUUUAUCGGGGAUCUUUUGUUCUGUAAUGCCUCUGUAAUUUACCUAAGUCUCUUUCAUUGUCUUCUAUUUCUUUGUGUGUCUUCUCUGAGUAGAGCCUUUUGAGAUAGGUUUCAGGUAGCUUUGGGACUCAGUAAGUAGCAGAUGAGGUUUCCUGUCCCUCUUGCAUUUGCCUCCCACAAACUGGGAUUUUAGGUUUGUCGUAUUACCACAGGUUAUUUCAGACAGGGCUGGCUUGGUACUUACUAUAGUCUGUACUCAACAGCAUACUUCCUACUUCCAAUUAUGGAGUGUUGGGAUUAUAGGCAUGCAUUAUUAUUAUUAUUAUCUAUUAUUAUUUGCAUUAAUUCCUAGAAUUUAUCACCUCUGAGCCAAUAACUUCUAAAUCCAUCUUUUAUUUUUGAAAAACUUUUAUUUUGUGUGUGUCAGUGCGCGUGUAUACUACAUGUAAGCAGGUGCCCAAAGAAGCGCUAAGAUGGUAGUGGAUCUCGUGAGCUGUAGUUAGAGGUGGUUGUGAGCUGCUUGACAUGGCUGCUGAACUCAGGUCCUCUGGAAGAGCAGCAAUCACUCUUAGCUGUUCAGCCAUCCCUCCAGGUCAAUCCAGCCACAGCCCCAGCCCCACACACGACACAGUCAUUUUGUGUGUUCGUAGCAGGCAUAUAGAGGUCACAGGACUCCGUGGGAGUCCCUUCUCUCCUUCAAGUCAGUCCCAAGAUGACUCAGGCCAUCAGGCUCAGCAAAAGCACCUCCAGCUGCUCAACGACCUUGCCAGCCCUCUGCAGACCAGGCAGGCCUUGAACUCACAGUCCUGCCUCAGCCUCCAAAGUGCUAAGAUUACAGGUAGGGUACUAAGCUGGGACUCAAACCCAGGCUUUGUGAGCGCCAGGUAAGCACUCUACUAACUUACACCUCUAAGCCCAUGACUUUUUGUUUUAGAUUUUAUUUUCAUUUCAUGUGCAUUGGUGUUUUUGCCUGCACAUCUGUCUGUAUGAGCAUGUCGGAUACCCUGAAACUGGAGUUACAGUUGUGAGUUGUCAUGUGGGUGCUAGGAGGUGAACCUGGGUCAUCUGCAAGAACAGCCAGAGCUCUUAACUGCUGAGCCAUUUCCCCAGCCGCC